UUAGACUGUUGGGAGAAAGAAGAAAUAAAGACCUUUGCCAAUCUACUUGCUCCGCAGACCCAUCUGAGUGAUAGGAUAUUCUCCCACGUCCCUGUGUGAAGGAUUAGGGUGACAUUAAGAUAUACCAGCAUACCAGAAUGCAGAAAAGAUCCAGUGGAGAAGGAAAAACUGGUGAUGCCAGAGAGAAAGCAGAGAAUUGCUGUAUACGGAUGUCCCUGAAUAGGCUAGAAGGAACGGGAUGAAGUGCACAGUGGAAGGCUGGUUUUCACGAGGAGUAUGGACUCAUUCAUACUAACAGAAAGAGAAACUGAGGCAGAGUAAGAUGAGUCACAUUUUCAUAAGAAAGAGUGAAAGUGGUAUGCAACCUCUCAAAUUCCUGAGACUCGAUAACAGCUUAAUUUGGACAGCAACAAAAGUUUAAUUCUUUAAACCUCUUAAAGGUUCUCAGUUUUGGAGCUUUUACUGCAUUCAUGUCCGUGUGACAUUUUUGCUCAAAUUCAACCUUGCCGUCUCCCAUUUCUCCACAAGCAUAAUUUGACUACAGAU